UACGUAGGGUGCAAGCGUUAUCCGGAAUUAUUGGGCGUAAAGAGCUCGUAGGCGGUUUGUCGCGUCUGCUGUGAAAACUGGAGGCUCAACCUCCAGCCUGCAGUGGGUACGGGCAGACUAGAGUGCGGUAGGGGGAGAUUGGAAUUCCUGGUGUAGCGGUGGAAUGCGCAGAUAUCAGGAGGAACACCGAUGGCGAAGGCAGAUCUCUGGGCCGUGAACUGACGCUGAGGAGCGAAAGCGUGGGGAGCGAACAGG
rnacentral:rRNA from 1 species